GCUGCGGGAGCUGUUUAUUCUCAGUGAUGAUGAUUGUCAUCGUCGUGUUGGUUAAAUCAUUUCGUGCUCGACCUCGUUAAAACUCCCUAAUGUUUGUUGUCAAGUGCGGGCGAUUGAUUGGAAGACGACGCGAUCUGGAAACUUUGAAUGAAUGAGUGAAUGAAUGUGACACCACAAUGGGAAGCUGGAAGAGUCACGUGCGCGCUCGACUGCAACAGCGAGACCAAACUGAGAAACAUCCAUAUGUUGGUGUUUUUACCAGCUUGUCUCAGCUGGAGGAGCUUUUUGAAAUUCGCAAACAAAUCCUGGACGAGUUUCAGUGCCAGAGUGUGGAAGGUGCUGGCGCUGCUGCUGAGAAAAACACCCGGAUCCUUCAGCUGCAGCUGAGAGAGACUGAGCACCUGUCAGAAAAGCUGUCCCAGACUGUCUCUGACCUGACCACCGUGCUGCACCUUAAAGAGGCGGAACUGCAGUACUUGCAGUCACGUAUGUCCCAGUACCGUCAAGAGGCACAGAACCACGCUAGGAUGUCGAACACUUUGAAGGUGACCCUUUCGGAGUUUGAGUUUACCAUGGAGUGUCAAUCCAAAGAGUUGGCAGCGCUGUGCACAGAGCAGCAAGGACUAAAGGAAACACUGGCACAGGCUUGCAGAGAGAAAGAUGAACUCUUACAGCGCUGGAUGGAGGAGAAGCGGGAGGAGGCUGACAGGCUGAAUAAGUACAACGAUGCACAGGAAAGGUGGCAACGUUUGGCCAAACAGCUGAAGAGACGCCUCCACAAGGAAAUGGAAAAAGAGUAGCCUACGUUUUCCCAGUGAAGAACCUCAGGAAUGCUUCACACAAGGGGUUGUCGUGGGAACCAAGAACCUUCUUCAGGAUCAUUCCUUUCACCUACUUAAUGAAGAGCGUGUAGUUGAUGGGGGGGUCAAGAUAAAGGAAGGCUUGAACAAUGACAUGCCAACAUGAUCAACAUCAGCACUAAUGAACAACAUUUAAGUUUCAUCGGACAACCUCAGUGCACUUUGAUUUUCUACCUGGACUUUUUCUUCACAUCUCAAAAACAGGAGGAGUCUGGUGUAUCGGUGGAACCUUCUCAGUUGACUCAGCUCGUCUUCUUAAGGGGUUUAAAAUGGCAAAAGGUAAAAAGCGAUAUCCAAAGGACCAUUGUGGGAAAUGGGUAAGAAGCUAUUGAUUUUUUUUUUUUUCCCCUCACAUAAUUCGUCGAGAUCAUUUUAGAAAUUCAGACUUAGUUAAAUCUUUUCUUCGACAUGUUUGCAGUUUGCUCAUCCGACGGUGAAAGAAGGGGAGCCAAGAAAAUGUGAGGGUAGCACGAGC